ACCAGCAGCCAUAUGACUCUGCAAACUCACAACUGGGAACCCUCUGAAGCUAAGCAGGUGUGAGCCUGGUCAGUACUGUAUGUGGAUGGGAGACCUCCUGGGAAAAUCUAAGGUUGCUGCUGGAA
rnacentral:rRNA from 1 species